CUUGGCGGCGAUAGUGCAGUGGACCCACCUAAUUCCAUGCCGAACUUAGAAGUGAAACGCUGUA
rnacentral:rRNA from 1 species